rnacentral:hammerhead_ribozyme from 1 species
GCACUGCUGAGGAGUCCCACAAUAGGACGGAACGGCAGUCCGGUGC